UCAAUUUGGAACAAUUUUAUGGAAGUUUGAAUAAAAUUGAAGUUUUAGCUAAUGUUUGAUAACUGGCAGAUUAGAACUGUCAACUUGUGCGAAUUUGUAGAGGUUCUUAACGACUUCAUUUGGGAAAGCUUCCUUCAUGAGAGUUGUAGCCCUUUAAGUUAAGAAAAUUCUCGAUUGGUUUCGUGUAAAUCCGAUAUCUGUAGCUCCAGAUAUCCCUGUUUUAAUGAGCAAAGGUCUGGCUGUACAGUACCUACGUAAUUUUAUUAAAAGUUGGGUUGGUGUUUUGGGCUUAAACCUUUUAACUUGGGUUACGUGGUGGAUUAAACUCAUAAUCAGAAGGUUCUUAGGCUGAAUGGAGCAUUAUGGGCCAAGGACGGCUGAUCCAAGGAAAGAAGCAAGGGUUUUGAAAACCCUAAGGCUUGGUGAGCCGCCGGCUGCCCAUGGAAAAAGGAAGGGGGCUGCAGCUGGGUUUUCCUCUGAAUUAUGAGCUUUAAUGAGCCAUUAAUACUCUGUUCUUGGGCUGUAUCAGAUCUGAAACCAGAACCCUAGCCCACACAAGCCCUGGCCGCCACCUAUAGGCAAGGAUUAGAGUGAAAUCCUUAUUUUCUUACAUGCAAAACAGCACCAGAAAAUAUUUCACGUAAACACCAACCAAACAAGCAAACCAGCACCCUUCCCCUUGCUCCUAAGAGGCCUCCACUCGUCACCCUUGCACCACCAGCAGCCACCGCCCACCAAGGAGGAGGAGGAGACACGAGAAAGAGAGAAAAACCGCAAGGAAGGAGAGGAAACGCGAGAAGGAGAGGAAGCACGUGGAGGAAGGAGAAUUUUGGACAGCAGAGGAAGCUCUUUCUAUUCUUCACUUCUCUCCAUCAAAAUCCUACUUCUUUUCAUCUAAAUUCAUUCAAAACCCGAGAUGGUCGUGAAGAUAAUGGCGAUGACUCAUUCUUGGGAGUUGAUGCUACGUGACGUGCCAAUACCGGAGGACGACUACACUUCAGAGGAAGAGGAAGAGGCUAAGGAAUAGGGUUUGGGUUGAGAGUCUUUUGUUUUCUGUUGGGGUUGAGAGUUUCCGAAGUGUUGGUAUCGAACAAUUUUAUUGCUUAAAUUCGAAUGAACAAGUUUUGAUGUAAUCUUUAUUUUCAUUCAGGCCUUUGAUUCGUA